rnacentral:rRNA from 2 species
AGAGUUUGAUCAUGGCUCAGGAUGAACGCUGGCGGCGUGCCUAAUACAUGCAAGUCGAACGAGUUCUCGUUGAAUCUCGGUGCUUGCACCGAGAUUCAACAUGGAACGAGUGGCGGACGGGUGAGUAACACGUGGGUAACCUGCCCUUAAGUGGGGGAUAACAUUUGGAAACAGAUGCUAAUACCGCAUAGAUCCAAGAACCGCAUGGUUCUUGGCUGAAAGAUGGCGUAAGCUAUCGCUUUUGGAUGGACCCGCGGCGUAUUAGCUAGUUGGUGAGGUAAUGGCUCACCAAGGCGAUGAUACGUAGCCGAACUGAGAGGUUGAUCGGCCACAUUGGGACUGAGACACGGCCCAAACUCCUACGGGAGGCAGCAGUAGGGAAUCUUCCACAAUGGACGCAAGUCUGAUGGAGCAACGCCGCGUGAGUGAAGAAGGCUUUCGGGUCGUAAAACUCUGUUGUUGGAGAAGAAUGGUCGGCAGAGUAACUGUUGUCGGCGUGACGGUAUCCAACCAGAAAGCCACGGCUAACUACGUGCCAGCAGCCGCGGUAAUACGUAGGUGGCAAGCGUUAUCCGGAUUUAUUGGGCGUAAAGCGAGCGCAGGCGGUUUUUUAAGUCUGAUGUGAAAGCCCUCGGCUUAACCGAGGAAGCGCAUCGGAAACUGGGAAACUUGAGUGCAGAAGAGGACAGUGGAACUCCAUGUGUAGCGGUGAAAUGCGUAGAUAUAUGGAAGAACACCAGUGGCGAAGGCGGCUGUCUGGUCUGCAAC